rnacentral:lncRNA from 1 species
ACUUUGCGACGAGGCCAGUCAGGGCAGCCUGCACCUUCAGACCCUUCAGCAAGAUGCUGCCAUGGCUCCUGGCAAGAAUGUAAGUGCACAUCACCAAACAAUGACACGUAAGCUGCACAGCUCUCCCAGGGCGGUCAGUGGGGGAGACCUUCUUGCACAGCGUUUCCACUGCUCCUGUCAGUACUGCGAGCUUCCGGGGGCACUCUACUUCCUUUUUCCCUCUGCAGCCCCUAGCUUCACCCCAUCCUCUCACAUCUCAGAAAUCUUGGGGAAGAAAACACACACUCACUGAUAGAGCCUUCCUCAAAGCUGGAGAGAGCAGGCUGUGUGCGACACUCAGGCACCUGCUUCGGCCCAGCCUGAGGACUAGGCAGUCGGCCCAGGGUCAAGGGUAACAUGGUCUCCCCGAACUUGGCAAGCCGAAGGAAGGCAGGGGUGCAUGGGAAGGAAACCCGCGCCAGCGUCUCCAGGCCCUAGACUUCGUUGAGAAGGGCUGAGACCUUGACGUGGGGAACGAGGAGCUUCAGCGUGUGGUGGGGCUUUCAUUCUUAGGGAGUCGUUAUUGCUGGUCCGAUCUCAGCCAACAUGCUGCUACUGAGUUGGGUGUAGAGAUGUACUCUUAGCAGGCCAGGGAAGGUCAAAACGGAGACCAGCAACGUCAACGCAUCUUAAAGUGGGGUGAGGUGAGAUGAUUACUUUAUUCUUUUUAGUUUGUCUAUAAGCCUAUAGGCUGGCCAUCCCUUGAGAGGACUGAGCAAAACAUGGAUGCCCAACACCCCUCACCCUCCCCAGAUCUGGCUUCAAGUGCCUACAGAUGUGAUGUGCCCUGAGAGCCUCAGUCAAGGGGGGGAUGGGAGAUGGGAAGCCCCCCCGCCUUCUAGUCACCGUGAACCUGUGGUCAAGUUCUUGGAGAACCCAUGUCCAUGUUCCAAAAGGGACAAUGUCCUGUUUUCCCCACCCCCAGUAGCUGGGGAGAAGCUAGCCAAAGCUGCAGCAUUAGGCAACAGAUGAGCCAGAACCGGGGUGGGGGUGCAGGUGAGAGCGGGAAAGGUGGGGGAUGCUCAGACGGGCAACCACACAGCCUCCUGCCUCUGCCUCUGUGUCCCGAAGAGCCUCCGCCAGGGUCACAGCCUUGGGCACGAGGAAGUGACUUGGUAGCCAUUUAA